ensembl:lncRNA
ACCCUUCUUCACUCUCUUUACAGAUGCAAUCUGAGACUUAUCACUGAAGGCGGACAGAAUGAUUAAGUACGUUGGCAUUCAGUGUGACCAGGGAAACCGACUUUUCUUCUACUCAUCCCCUGGAACCUCUAAACCUCCUCUCCCGCUGCUCCUCCUCACUGGGAAAGAGCCCAAAAGCGAAAUGACUGGUGGUUAUCCUCCUUGACUCGAUGCCACUGUGCUGCGGCAUAUUACAGCUCCUGCCUCCCAACGGUGGCCUGUCGGUGCCUGCACCGUCUAAACCCUCAGGAUGGAGCUGUUCCAGCUUUGAGAGCUGGACGGAUAACCGGACCUCUUUGACCCAUGACCCCCCCGGAUGGCCCCCAAACAUCCUCUGUUGUUCUUGCGUGUUCUUGUCCAUUCUGUUCAUCCUCCUGGCAUUUGCCCUCAAUCUUUCAUCCCUCCUUCCUUUUGACAGCCUGAUCUCCUUGCACCCCAGGCCGCAUGAGUUUUUUUCAGCUCUGCGGCGCGUCGGGGCUCGCCGGAACACACGUUGACGGCGCUGGCCUUCCCAGCUCCCCCCGGAGUGCGAGUGCUGGAGCGAUCUGCGUCACGAAGCCAGCGAGACCGAGUGGAAUCCAAGUGGACUUCGCUCCUUAGGGAGCUGACUGUGUUCAUGCCCCCAGCAGGUCUCUGCUCCACUGCCUUGUAUUAGAGAAGAGCCAUUCAAGAUGGUCCUGGAACAUCGAAGCUUGGGGUGGUUAACAAGAGGGCUGAAGUUCUCGGACGACGCACGGCAAGCCGAAGGACGCGUUCGCUCCGAGUGACCCGUAACACAGCAGAGGAACAAAUACACUAACACGAUCUGAAGGUUCCAGCUAAGCGAAAGGCAAAUUUGCGGAGGCGGUCCUCCGCGCAGCCCGAGGUCUAAGGGUCUACCCAGUUUUGUCUCACUCGUAUAAAGUUUGAAAUGCAGACGUCAUUAGUCCCAGCCCCCCUGCUGACCUUUGACCCCCCCGAACUGGAAAGCGGGAUCCCCGUGGUCGUUCGCUAUCGGGGUCAUUGCGGGUGCGCCGUGCCCUUGGCCCUGGCGUUAGGAAAACUCCGGACACGUGGCCCAGCAUGGAGCAGGAAGCACCCACUGCCAACCUGGCCAUGCCUUCCUUCGAAACGAUAAGGCCAUUUCCAUUGCUUUCUGGCAGAUUUUAAUAUAAUUAUCUCAGAGGCCAUUGCAAUGCAUUUAAUUCUCACAUGCUUUCCCAGUCCCUUCAGGAUUCAUUUACAUAAUGUUUGCGUUUGAAAAAUGCACACCUAGCUAAGUAUACUUACUCUGGAUUGCGUCCAGCCAGCGAGGCAUGUGAACAAUCUCCUGCGGCUGGUCAAGUUUCGCCCGUUUGCUUACGCUUUUGACAGCUGAAGACGAUGAACUCUACGGGUUUUUAAAAAAAAAAAAAAAAAAAAACUCAUUUGAUAUUUCAAUUUGAAGGUAUCUGCAGGAGCCCCAAGUUAACGCUUAACAGAAUUAUUUAUUUCGGUCGUUGUUUUGUUUAACAUUCAUAGCGCACAACGAGGCUUUCUUUUGAUUGUUUGGACUCUGCUUUCGCCAGGUAUUUAAACAAAAUACGUCGUUUUGCCUGUAACGUUUCACUAAUAAAUCAUAAAUAAAUCCAGACUCCGCA